rnacentral:rRNA from 1 species
UCCGUAGGUCGCAAGCGUUGUCCGGAUUUACUGGGCGUAAAGAGCGCGCAGGCGGCUGGUCAAGUCCGAUGUGAAAUCUCCCGGCUCAACUGGGAAACUGCAUCGGAAACUGAUCGGCUUGAAGAUGGGAGAGGGUAGUGGAAUUCCCGGUGUAGUGGUGAAAUGCGUAGAUAUCGGGAGGAACACCAGUGGCGAAGGCGACUACCUGGCCCAUUCUUGACGCUGAGGCGCGAAAGCUAGGGGAGCGAACGGG